rnacentral:rRNA from 1 species
CCUACGGGAGGCAGCAGUGGGGAAUAUUGCACAAUGGGGGAAACCCUGAUGCAGCAACGCCGCGUGGGUGAAGGAGCGUUUCGGCGCGUAAAGCCCUGUCAGCAGGGAAGAAAUAGCGACCUUUGGGUCGCCAGACGGUACCUGAUUAAGAAGCCCCGGCUAACUACGUGCCAGCAGCCGCGGUAAUACGUAGGGGGCAAGCGUUAUCCGGAUUUACUGGGUGUAAAGGGAGCGUAGACGGCAGCGCAAGUCUGAAGUGAAAUGCCGGGGCUUAACCCCGGAACUGCUUUGGAAACUGUGAAGCUAGAGUGCAGGAGAGGUAAGUGGAAUUCCUAGUGUAGCGGUGAAAUGCGUAGAUAUUAGGAGGAACACCAGUGGCGAAGGCGGCUUACUGGACUGUAACUGACGUUGAGGCUCGAAAGCGUGGGGAGCAAACAGGAUUAGAUACCCUAGUAGUC